GAUUAGAUAGUUGGUGGGGUAACGGCCUACCAAGGCGACGAUCAGUAGCUGGUUUGAGAGGACGACCAGUCACACUGGAACUGAGACACGGUCCAGACUCCUACGGGAGGCAGCAGUGGGGAAUUUUCUGCAAUGGGCGAAAGCCUGACAGAGCAAUACCGCGUGAGGGAAGAAAGCCCACAGGGUUGUAAACCUCUUUUGUCAAGGAAGAAGUUCUGACGUUACUUGACGAAUAAGCAUCGGCUAACUCCGUGCCAGCAGCCGCGGUAAGACGGGGGAUGCAAGUGUUAUCCGGAAUCACUGGGCGUAAAGCGUUUGUAGGUGGUUUAGUAAGUCUAUUGUUAAAGCUUGAAGCUCAACUUCAAAAAUGUAAUAGAAACUACUAGACUUGAGGAUAGUAGGGGUAAAGGGAAUUUCCAGUGGAGCGGUGAAAUGCGUAGAGAUUGGAAGGACCACCGAUGGCGAAGGCACUUUACUGGGCUAUUACUAACACUCAGAGACGAAAGCUAGGGUAGCAAAUGGGGAUUAGAUACCCCA
rnacentral:rRNA from 1 species